rnacentral:lncRNA from 1 species
GGUAUUGGGUUAAGAGAGAUCUCUCCUGGGGACACAGAAGUUCCUGGUGAGGCACAUACACUCCUGUCCAGGACAGUAGCGAAGUGUCACUCUGUCCUCUAUACUGGUUCCGUAAGGAAUUCCUCUGGAAGGACAGAAAGGUGUUGAUGAGACACAUAUGCGCUCCUGUCCAGAGCAUUAGCAAGAUGUUGCACUGCUCCCUCGGUUUUGGCGCCUGGUUCUUGUUUUCUUGUGUUUUGGUCUGUGUUAUAUAUGCUUUUUCUGCCUUUUCGUUGUGUGUCUUCUCUGGUAGAAAAUUAAGACAAUUGAACAUCAAAAAUGGGUGAUAAGGCAAGUAAGCCUGACAUCCCUUUGAGCUGUGUUUUAAGGAAUUUUGAUAAAUGUUACUCCCCUUUGUUAAGCAGGAUUAGGGAAGCAAUGCUUUCUUUUCUUCCCCUAGUUGGCUGCCUUGAGCAUACCACAUGAAAAGUUAAUUUCUGUUUUACUAUAAAUUACUGAGAUUUCUAAACUUGCUUGGAAUGCCUGUCCGUGCCUUGAACUCACCAUGCAUGGCUUUCCCUGACAAGAUAACAACCCUCUCUGAAACCUUAGUGGCGCCUCAUAAAUUCUGGUUUUCCCUGACCAGAUAAUAAUCCUCUAAAACCUCAGCAGCAUCCCAUAAAUUCAGGGAAAUGCCUGCUGGGGAUCUAGAAAAUGAAUAUUUCCCAAAUUAACAAGUGAAUCCUAACCUGCCAUUAGGGCACCCUGGGAACCCCUACCGAAAUUAACUCUAGAAAAAUUCCUUUAAAACCCUUUUGUCUCUCCAGAACAAGAGAGUCACCGCCCUUGGGAUGGGAGUCCUUGUUUUUCUUCUUUGUUAGCAAAGCAAUAAAACUUAUUUUUCCUUUUUUCUCAAAACCCUGUCCUCAUUAUUAAAUUGGCAUUAAUUGGCUUUGAGGACAGGAACUGAACUUUCAGUUACAAAUUUUGAUACUCCAGGUGGGACUCCAGAGGAGACCCAGCUCCACUGUCUUGGGGAAGCCUAGCACUCCAAGUAACUGCAUGCCGAGGAUGUAAGAUGAACUUUUUGAGAGCUGACUACUGGAAAGUUAGGAGAUAAUGGGAGUGUGCCUGGGGUCAGACCGAACCAGAGGAGCUAUUCCUGUAAGUAAAUGGAGUGACCGAGGGACUCCCAACAGCUGCCGAAGCCCCUUUUGCUUUGGGGAACUCCUGCCUUCCUUCCCUGCACUGUAAGGAUUGCUUCAUCUCUGUCUAUUAAAAAAAAAAAAAAGAAGGAAACUGAAUGCAGUGAAGUCACUACACCAAGACCCUUGAUUUUACAAUUCUGGUUCCCUCUUUGUGGGAAUAUCUAUGAUAUUUAUGUAUCUGGUGACAUCUAUGGUGCCACUGGUGUAGGACUCAUGGUUAAAUUGGGAGUUGGAAACUUGGGGAUAUUUUUCCCUUAUCUGGUCUAUUUUAAAGGUUCCUCUCUGUCGGCCAUAGUUUGGAGCUCCUCUCUCUCUGUCAUUGUGUCUUUGUUUGUAUCUGUUUCUGGCCCUUUAAGACAUGGGCAAUAAUGUGUUGAUAUUAUAGAUUGUUUCUUGGGAAUGAUCUUGGCUGAAUGGGCUACCUAUAGAUGUACAUGUGUCUAAAAAGAUGAUGUUUUACUGUAACAAUCUGGUAUCUGAAUGGGUUUUUGAAGCAUUGUACAAUCUUACAGUUAAAAGUUGGUUUGUCAGAGAUAAAAUAAUUAAUAAGGAGUCUUAAUAGUCAAAAACUGAGUUGGAGGGGCUGGAGAUGUGGCUCAAGUGGUAGCGCGCUCGCCUAGCAUGCAUGAGGCACUGGGUUCGAUUCUCAGCACCACAUAAAAAUAAAAUAAAGAUAUUGUGUCCACCUUAAACUAAAAAAAAUAUAUUAAAAAAAAAACUGAGUUGGAUGCAAAUACUUUAGCUCAUCUUUAUCCUCUCACCGCCGUGCCACUUUCUUUCUUUCUGAAGGAUGAUAUGAGCCCCCGAUGGCUAUAAAUGCAGCUAAUGCAACUGCAACUCCUCAAAACUCGGGUGAAAGGUUUCCCGGCCUAGGCAGCUCUCAAUCACCGUUCAAUACAGAACAGGCAUGUUGGGCUCUGCCUGCUGAAGCCCUUUCCUACUUUUCUGUCCAGGCCCAGAGAGCAAUUGACACAAGUACACAGUGUCCCAAGUUCUGAUCUGCCUUAGAUGUGUGGAAGUAACCUUAGCCAAACUCUAGCCUCAGAUGCUCCAGGUAUGCUUCUCCUGAUUCUCUGUAGGGGCCAGAAGCCAAUUUCCCCUUGAAUACAAGUACCAGCUUUUCUGUUCUCACCUCUUACCUUAGACCUCUUAAAAAUAUCUGAACAGCCUAUAACCAAAAGGUUUACUCCCCCUGAGUUAUGAACAGGCUUUGGAGCAAGAUUUAUCCUGUUUGUCACUGAGAGAGGAAGACAAAACCUAGGAAUGGCCACACAAGAAAGUGGACUUGCUCAACAACAAAUGGCUUAUCUUAGUAAGGAACUUAACAUCAUAGCUUUGUUCCCAAAGGUAGUAGAAAGUAAGGUAGCAUAAUUCUAGGCAUCCAAACCUGUCCAAUUACUGACUAGGGAAAAAAAUGGUUAAAACGCCUUAGGCAUGAGGUUUCUGCUCAGAACAGCAGUUUUCCCUAGCUCUUUCUGGACCUAAGCCAGGACUUACACUGAAAUGCAAAUGGAAGCUCAGUAGGAGACUGGUCUUAGACCCUAAAAAAAGAAAGUAAACGUGCCCUUUACCUGAACUUAUAUUAGACUAAACCAAAAAAUAAAUUGUAUGAUACUUUACUAAUUACCUCCUGGUCAUUUUUUUUCUAGGACUCUUGCUUUUUCUUAGAUUCUGUAUUUUUUGAGCUCAUAAUUUUAAUCCUACAGACCUAGGUUAAUGUUUUUCCAAUCAGUCCUAAUUUUUGUUCAACUAUGGAGGUUUUAAACAUUGCAAUGGAGAUUUCACCUGCAAAAAGCUACAAGACCUUUACCAUUGUGUUAUGUGUGCACACUUGUGUUAUGUGUUGUAUGUCUAUAUGUACAUGUGUCCAUAUAUCAUGUACAUGAUAUGAAAAUUGGCAGGUAUAUAAGGAGUGCUCAUAAAAUUAAAAAAAUAGAUCCAAAUACCUUUAAUUCACAUGAUUUAAAAUGGUUCAAUUUAAUUUGGGUAAACAGAUGAAAAUAAAUAUGUCUUUAAAAUCAAAUUUAACUCACAAGUCUCCCUAGGUGGUCAAAAAAAUAAUAAAAUGUUGAUGUUUAUAAAAUGUCUAAUAUCCCUUGAUUCUAGAAAUUUUCUUCAACAAGGAAGAAACGGCUAAUAC